rnacentral:rRNA from 1 species
UACGUAGGGUGCAAGCGUUAAUCGGAAUUACUGGGCGUAAAGCGUGCGCAGGCGGUUUUGUAAGUCUGUCGUGAAAUCCCCGGGCUUAACCUGGGAAUGGCAUUUGGGACUGCAAGGCUGGAGUUUGGCAGAGGAGACUGGAAUUCCCGGUGUAGCAGUGAAAUGCGUAGAUAUCGGGAGGAAUACCGAUGGCGAAGGCAGGUCUCUGGGCUAUAACUGACGCUCAUGCACGAAAGCGUGGGGAGCAAACAGG